GAUAUUACAAUUUGUUCCAUAGACUUCAGUUAGCACACAGUUUGUACAGGGCCUGAGGCUGACAAUGGAGACAAAGAGUUACAAGGUACAGUCACUUCUAAGGAGCUGACCCUUUAUUAGUGGACAAGGCCAUGAAUAAAGAAUGCCAGAUGAAUAGCGCAAGAUCUGAACUUCAUGGACACAGUGGAGGAGACUGAGCUCCCUUGAUUUCUGACUGCAUACAGUGUUCGGUCAAUAAGAAGUCAUAUGGCAUCAGAGGAAGAGAGGAGAAAGGUCAGAUGAAUCUGCUCAUAAUCCCAAAGUAUUCUCCCUCCUGACUACAUCAGAGAAACUUCUCAUGGCAUAGAAACUGCCAGCAGCCAGAUGAAGACACCUGUCCCUAUCUGCAUGUGGAGUCAUAAGCAGUCAUUUCCUAGCUUGGCAGCACUCCUUCAAGUGACAUUUCCAACACCACCUAGAGAACCAGGAAAUUCAGUCAGACAGGCAGCACCAGAGGUGGGCCUGAUCAAGUCCCUCUUGGCAAAUUCUUGUUCAAGAAAUAAAAAGGGGAAGACCCUGGACAUAAAUCCCAACAUGCUAUAGAUAAUUUUUUGGAGGUAAUUGCUGAUUUGCAAAUAGGCAAAGUUUUUAAGCUUUGACUUGUUUAGAAUAUGGAAGAAAAUAAUAAUAAUAAUAAAAAGGACAGUCUUAUUUCUUUUCUUUUAUAAUUACCCACACAGAAUGAAGAGAACUGAGGAAAUUAAUCUUAAUGACCCAAAGCCCUCCCCUCUAGAAACAUACUUUCCCUCAUUGUAUGGGUAUUUCAAAUAAUCAGAUCCCCAAAAUGGCUUCUAGUUCUUCUCCUUUUCAUGGCUAGGUAGCUUUCCUCUUUCUCUCUUUUUUUACUUCCUUCCUUUCUUCCUACAAAUAAUUAUUGAAUACAUAGAAUAUUACAGGCCCUUAGGAUACAUCAGUUAACUUUAUAGACAUUGUCUUUGCCCUCGUGGAACUUAGUCUGGUUGGGGGAUCAGGCAUCAAAUUAAAAUUUAUACAAAGUGUUAUAUAAUUGCAGUAAUUUCAGUAAUAAUAAAUAUAGUACUAUAUUAUAUUAAUUUUUAACAAGUCUGUAAGUUCAGGGAAGGCUUUCCUAAAGAAAACAAUAUUCAUUGUUGAGACUAAAAGGAUAAAUAAUACAUAAAGCAAUCCCAAAUAUAGAAGCCUCCCAGAAAAUGGAAAGACAAAGAAAAUGAACAAAACAAUCUCUAAUACAGUCUAGAUUUAGACCCAUAGUCAACGUUAUAUCAACAAGAAAGUGAUGCUCUUUCUACAAUCUCUUUUUGGAAUCCUAUUCCUGAAGAGAAGAGACUGCUGUUAAAUACCUGAAAAAAUGUCAUCACUAUUAACAGAUAACCUAAAUGUAUUUGUAAUCCAGAGCUUAGAUGAUCUGUAUAGCUAAAAGAACAAAUACCAGCAAAUAAUACCCAAAGGGGUGUUAGAAAACAUAUAUUCUGUCCAACCUGAAUUAUUUGCAUCCCCAGUAUGGAAGUGUAUUUAUUAGGGUAUAAGUUUGACUGCCAUGACAGAAACUCAAAACAAUAGAAGCUUAAACAUAGUGGAAGUGUUGUUUUUCUCUCUACUAACCACCUGAGUAUAAGAAUACCAGAAUUAGGAUGGUAGCUCCAUGGUGUGAAGGCACAGUCUUCUUAUAUCAUGUUGUUUUAUGCUCUCUAGAAUGUUGCCCUCAUCUGCAUGUUUCAAGAUGACUCAUAAGAAAGGGAAAAGAAGUUAAAGAGAAGUACAUUCCAUUUUAAGAGGCACAACCCAGAAUUUUCUGAUGUCAUUUCUGCUCUUAAAUCAUGACCUAGAUGGACCUAGUCACAAGGCCACACCUAGCUUUGGAAACAUAGUCAUUAUUCUGGGUACUCAUAUGCCCAAGUGAAAAAUAUGAGAAAGAAAAUGAUAUCAGAUAAUUGGGGGAAAUGCAUAUACCACCACAAUGACAAACAUGAAAAACAUUAUGAUAACUCAAAGGAUAUAACAAUGAGUGAGGCUAGUUUCCUGACCUGAAGGAUGCCAGGAGCCAAUGGUUGGGAGAGGCAGCAGACAUGCACUAGAGGAGAGGUAGAUUUUAGGGAUGAGGAAAGGCCAUACAUUGAUUCUCUUUGGGGAAUUAUCAUAGAAAAGGUAACAGCUAAGUUGGGUUCUAAAUUAUGUGUCAGAUUUCAACAGGAAGAGAAAGGUAAGAACCUUUCAGGAAGAGGAAACCAUGUUACAGCAACUUCCUUGAUGGAUCUACAUGAGCUUAAUAUGCUUGUUGCUGUAUCCACACGUUAUCUUUAGUCAGAUGAUUUAAAGAAUAAUCUUAAUUACAAGUCUUAGUCAAAGUAAUGAGUAUUAUCCGUUUUAAUGCAAAAGUGAAUUGUGAAAGUUUUUGAAUCAUAACUAGUGCAUUCCUGAGUGGUGAGAUCCCGCUUGAUAGACCUAACAAAAUGAUGAGGGCUGAGAUUCUUCUUGGAAGUGUUAAUCCACAAAGUAUGUAGCCAUAAACAUGCCUUUUCCUUUUACAUUCUAAAGACAUCCACAAAGUAAGGUAAACAGUGAAGAAGGAUCUGUAAAAUAAUCCAUCUCAAGACUAUCACAACUCAUAAAAAUUGAGUUAACUAAACUCUGUCCAGAUGAGAAAAUAGCAGUCAUAAUUUCCAUGAGUAUAUGAAUUUAUGGUUUUAAAAGAGUGUACUUUACAUUGUCAGUUAAUACUUAAUAUAAAUCUAUGCUAUAGGUACAGCUGGUAUUAUUAUUUCAAUUUUAAGAGUGACACAACCAAAUCUAAAAGAUAUAAAGAUAUCAAUAUCAAAUAGGAAGAGUUUCAGAGAUGAGACUCAAACCCACAAUGUAACAAGAACAUGUAUUUACUGUUGUGGGAAGAUAAAAUGAUUGUCCAUGCAUGUAUUCUCAGGUGUAGGGCAUAAGUCAAAACUAAACAUAAAGGGUUAAAUACUAAUUAUCUAAAUAUAUUCCCAAAAGCUCUUUCCUAAUCUUGCCAUCAUGAAAGAAACACAGGUGGAAAAGUAAUUUAAACAGACUGAUGUAUUUCCUGAGAAUUCUAGAAAAUUUGGGACCACUCUCUUAUCAGCUUAUGUGUAGGUUUUCCCAAGAAUUACAUGCUAGAAUAGCCUGGUGUGAAAUUUAUUCUAUAAGGGGAUUGUUUAAUAAUUCAGUUUAAUCAUAUUUGUAAAACUGUGUUGAUACAAAGGGCUAUUAAUAGAAAUGUAGUAAUACUCCAUCAAAGCACUAAAUCCAAUUAAUUGGAGAUAGUCUAUUAUGGUCAAUUAAUUAAAAGUCUCAACUUAGAAUGUUUCAGUAAAAUAUCAUUCCUAUAAUAUUUUAGUAAACAACAAUGUGCAAUCAAAUUGGGAAGUCUGCUGGAUAUAUUUUAACAAAACUUUUGAAUUUGCAGUGUAUACAAACAAUGCUUAAAGGUUAUUUAAAUAAAUGUUCUAUAUUCUAAUAUAACAUAUCCAUUUGCUUAAGAAAUCAUU